CGAUAGUGAACCAGUACCGUGAGGGAAAGGCGAAAAGAACCCUGUGAGGGGAGUGAAAUAGAACCUGAAACCGUGUACGUACAAGCAGUAGGAGCACCUUCGUGGUGUGACUGCGUACCUUUUGUAUAAUGGGUCAGCGACUUAUAUUCAGUGGCAAGGUUAACCGUAUAGGGGAGCCGUAGCGAAAGCGAGUCUUAACUGGGCGCUCAGUCUCUGGAUAUAGACCCGAAACCGGGUGAUCUAGCCAUGGGCAGGUUGAAGGUUGAGUAACAUCAACUGGAGGACCGAACCGACUAAUGUUGAAAAAUUAGCGGAUGACUUGUGGCUAGGGGUGAAAGGCCAAUCAAACUCGGAGAUAGCUGGUUCUCCCCGAAAGCUAUUUAGGUAGCGCCUCGGACGAAUACUACUGGGGGUAGAGCACUGUUAAGGCUAGGGGGUCAUCCCGACUUACCAACCCUUUGCAAACUCCGAAUACCAGUAAGUACUAUCCGGGAGACACACGGCGGGUGCUAACGUCCGUCGUGGAGAGGGAAACAACCCAGACCGCCAGCUAAGGUCCCAAAGUAUUGCUAAGUGGGAAACGAUGUGGGAAGGCUCAGACAGCUAGGAUGUUGGCUUAGAAGCAGCCAUCAUUUAAAGAAAGCGUAAUAGCUCACUAGUCGAGUCGGCCUGCGCGGAAGAUGUAACGGGGCUAAGCAAUACACCGAAGCUGCGGCAAUGUCUUUUAGACAUUGGGUAGGGGAGCGUUCUGUAAGCCGUUGAAGGUGAAUCGUAAGGUUUGCUGGAGGUAUCAGAAGUGCGAAUGCUGACAUGAGUAACGACAAAGGGGGUGAAAAACCUCCUCGCCGGAAGACCAAGGGUUCCUGUCCAACGUUAAUCGGGGCAGGGUGAGUCGACCCCUAAGGUGAGGCCGAAAGGCGUAAUCGAUGGGAAACGGGUUAAUAUUCCCGUACUUCUGACUAUUGCGAUGGGGGGACGGAGAAGGCUAGGUGGGCCAGGCGACGGUUGUCCUGGUUCAAGUGCGUAGGCUUGAGAGUUAGGUAAAUCCGGCUCUCUCUAAGGCUGAGACACGACGUCGAGCUACUACGGUAGUGAAGUCAUUGAUGCCAUGCUUCCAGGAAAAGCCUCUAAGCUUCAGAUAGUCAGGAAUCGUACCCCAAACCGACACAGGUGGUCGGGUAGAGAAUACCAAGGCGCUUGAGAGAACUCGGGUGAAGGAACUAGGCAAAAUGGUACCGUAACUUCGGGAGAAGGUACGCUCUUGAUGGUGAAGUCCCUCGCGGAUGGAGCUGACGAGAGUCGCAGAUACCAGGUGGCUGCAACUGUUUAUUAAAAACACAGCACUGUGCAAAAUCGCAAGAUGACGUAUACGGUGUGACGCCUGCCCGGUGCCGGAAGGUUAAUUGAUGGGGUUAGCGCAAGCGAAGCUCUUGAUCGAAGCCCCGGUAAACGGCGGCCGUAACUAUAACGGUCCUAAGGUAGCGAAAUUCCUUGUCGGGUAAGUUCCGACCUGCACGAAUGGCGUAAUGAUGGCCACGCUGUCUCCACCCGAGACUCAGUGAAAUUGAAAUCGCUGUGAAGAUGCAGUGUACCCGCGGCUAGACGGAAAGACCCCGUGAACCUUUACUACAGCUUGGCACUGAACAUUGAACCUACAUGUGUAGGAUAGGUGGGAGGCUAUGAAGACGUGACGCCAGUUGCGUUGGAGCCGUCCUUGAAAUACCACCCUUGUAUGUUUGAUGUUCUAACUUAGACCCAUUAUCUGGGUUGAGGACAGUGCCUGGUGGGUAGUUUGACUGGGGCGGUCUCCUCCCAAAGAGUAACGGAGGAGCACGAAGGUGGGCUAAUCACGGUUGGACAUCGUGAGGUUAGUGCAAUGGCAUAAGCCCGCUUAACUGCGAGAAUGACGGUUCGAGCAGGUGCGAAAGCAGGUCAUAGUGAUCCGGUGGUUCUGUAUGGAAGGGCCAUCGCUCAACGGAUAAAAGGUACUCCGGGGAUAACAGGCUGAUACCGCCCAAGAGUUCAUAUCGACGGCGGUGUUUGGCACCUCGAUGUCGGCUCAUCACAUCCUGGGGCUGAAGUCGGUCCCAAGGGUAUGGCUGUUCGCCAUUUAAAGUGGUACGCGAGCUGGGUUUAGAACGUCGUGAGACAGUUCGGUCCCUAUCUGCCGUGGGCGUUGGAAGAUUGAAGGGGGCUGCUCCUAGUACGAGAGGACCGGAGUGGACGAACCUCUGGUGUUCGGGUUGUGUCGCCAGACGCAUUGCCCGGUAGCUAAGUUCGGAAUUGAUAAGCGCUGAAAGCAUCUAAGCGCGAAGCGAGCCCUGAGAUGAGUCUUCCCUGACAGUUUAACUGUCCUAAAGGGUUGUUCGAGACUAGAACGUUGAUAGGCAGGGUGUGUAAGCGUUGUGAGGCGUUGAGCUAACCUGUACUAAUUGCCCGUGAGGCUUAACCAU
rnacentral:rRNA from 1 species